GCAGUAGUGGCUCAGCGGUUAAGCUUCUGGGUUACUGAUCAGAAGGUGGGGGGUUCAAGCCCCAUCACUGCU